rnacentral:rRNA from 1 species
AUUGAACGCUGGCGGCAGGCCUAACACAUGCAAGUCGAACGAGUGGCGGACGGGUGCGUAAUGUCUGGGCAACUGCCUGCUGGAGGGGGAUAACUACUGGAAACGGUAGCUAAUACCGCAUACCAUCUGAUGUGCCCAGAUGGGCUUAGCUAGUAGGUGGGGUAAAGGCUCACCUAGGCGACGAUCCCUAGCUGGUCUGAGAGGAUGACCAGCCACACGGGAACGUAGACGCGGGCCAGACUCCUACGGGGGGCAGCAGUGGGGAAUAUUGCACAGGGGGCGAAAGACUGAUGAAGCCAUGCCGCGUGGAUGAAGAAGGCCUUCGGGUUGUAAAGUACGUUCAGCGGGGAGGCGUUACCCGCAGAAGAAGAACCGGCUAACGCCGUGCCAGCAGCCGCGGUAAUUC